UACAGAGGGUGCGAGCGUUGUUCGGAAUUACUGGGCGUAAAGCGCGCGCAGGCGGCCUUUUAAGUCUGCUGGUGAAAUGCCGGGGCUCAACCCCGUGCCCGCCACAGAUACUGGGAGGCUGGAGACAUGUAGAGGCAAGCGGAAUUCCGGGUGUAGCGGUGGAAUGCGUAGAGAUCGGGAAGAACAUCAGUGGCGAAGGCGGUCUGCUGGGCCGUUGCUGACGCUGAGGCGCGACAGCGGUGGGGAGCAAACAGG
rnacentral:rRNA from 1 species